rnacentral:rRNA from 1 species
UGCUGGAGGUAUCAGAAGUGCGAAUGCUGACAUAAGUAACGAUAAAGCGGGUGAAAAGCCCGCUCGCCGGAAGACCAAGGGUUCCUGUCCAACGUUAAUCGGGGCAGGGUGAGUCGACCCCUAAGGCGAGGCCGAAAGGCGUAGUCGAUGGGAAACAGGUUAAUAUUCCUGUACUUGGUGUUACUGCGAAGGGGGGACGGAGAAGGCUAUGUUGGCCGGGCGACGGUUGUCCCGGUUUAAGCGUGUAGGCUGGUUUUCCAGGCAAAUCCGGAAAACCAAGGCUGAGGCGUGAUGACGAGGCACUACGGUGCUGAAGCGACAAAUGCCCUGCUUCCAGGAAAAGCCUCUAAGCAUCAGGUAACAUCAAAUCGUACCCCAAACCGACACAGGUGGUCAGGUAGAGAAUACCAAGGCGCUUGAGAGAACUCGGGUGAAGGAACUAGGCAAAAUGGUGCCGUAACUUCGGGAGAAGGCACGCUGAUAUGUAGGUGAAGCGACUUGCUCGUGGAGCUGAAAUCAGUCGAAGAUACCAGCUGGCUGCAACUGUUUAUUAAAAACACAGCACUGUGCAAACACGAAAGUGGACGUAUACGGUGUGACGCCUGCCCGGUGCCGGAAGGUUAAUUGAUGGGGUUAGCGGUAACGCGAAGCUCUUGAUCGAAGCCCCGGUAAACGGCGGCCGUAACUAUAACGGUCCUAAGGUAGCGAAAUUCCUUGUCGGGUAAGUUCCGACCUGCACGAAUGGCGUAAUGAUGGCCAGGCUGUCUCCACCCGAGACUCAGUGAAAUUGAACUCGCUGUGAAGAUGCAGUGUACCCGCGGCAAGACGGAAAGACCCCGUGAACCUUUACUAUAGCUUGACACUGAACAUUGAGCCUUGAUGUGUAGGAUAGGUGGGAGGCUUUGAAGUGUGGACGCCAGUCUGCAUGGAGCCGACCUUGAAAUACCACCCUUUAAUGUUUGAUGUUCUAACGUUGGCCCGUAAUCCGGGUUGCGGACAGUGUCUGGUGGGUAGUUUGACUGGGGCGGUCUCCUCCUAAAGAGUAACGGAGGAGCACGAAGGUUGGCUAAUCCUGGUCGGACAUCAGGAGGUUAGUGCAAUGGCAUAAGCCAGCUUGACUGCGAGCGUGACGGCGCGAGCAGGUGCGAAAGCAGGUCAUAGUGAUCCGGUGGUUCUGAAUGGAAGGGCCAUCGCUCAACGGAUAAAAGGUACUCCGGGGAUAACAGGCUGAUACCGCCCAAGAGUUCAUAUCGACGGCGGUGUUUGGCACCUCGAUGUCGGCUCAUCACAUCCUGGGGCUGAAGUAGGUCCCAAGGGUAUGGCUGUUCGCCAUUUAAAGUGGUACGCGAGCUGGGUUUAGAACGUCGUGAGACAGUUCGGUCCCUAUCUGCCGUGGGCGCUGGAGAACUGAGGGGGGCUGCUCCUAGUACGAGAGGACCGGAGUGGACGCAUCACUGGUGUUCGGGUUGUCAUGCCAAUGGCACUGCCCGGUAGCUAAAUGCGGAAGAGAUAAGUGCUGAAAGCAUCUAAGCACGAAACUUGCCCCGAGAUGAGUUCUCCCUGACUCCUUGAGGGUCCUGAAGGAACGUUGAAGACGACGACGUUGAUAGGCCGGGUGUGUAAGCGCAGCGAUGCGUUGAGCUAACCGGUACUAAUGAACCGUGAGGCUUAACCUU